GGGGACGACAGGCUUCGACGCAGUCGGCCGUGCGAAGAGUUGCAGGUCGAGGAUGUCGAUGGCCUCGUAAAAAAUCGGCAAAAAACCAAUACGUGCGGACCAUGAGUUCGCCCUCGCUGCCUAGAUAACUUCUAGGACAAUGAGAGUCGGUCCACCCUCGGCCCGUGGGGUGGGGCACCGGCUUCAGAAACGGGCUCACCUGCGAGGGAUGUUCCGACCUCAAGGGGAAAUUCAAUCGGAACUGGUCUACCGGUGUGCUCGUUGGUGCAGCCCCCGGAAGAUGAGAACAAAGCACUAGCUAAGCCUGUAGACGCUUUUCGACACGUGACCGCGGACGCGGGUUCAAUUCCCGCCGUCUCCAUCA
rnacentral:tmRNA from 1 species